rnacentral:rRNA from 1 species
GACUAGAGUCUUGUAGAGGGGGGUAGAAUUUCAGGUGUAGCGGUGAAAUGCGUAGAGAUCUGAAGGAAUACCGGUGGCGAAAGCGGCCCCCUGGACAAAGACUGACGCUCAGAUGCGAAAGCGUGGGGAGCAAACAGGAUUAGAUACCCUGGUAGUCCACGCCGUAAACGAUGUCUACUCGGAAUUUGGUACCUU